rnacentral:lncRNA from 1 species
AGACAUAUGAGAGCUGUCCAUCCUAUAGAAUGGGUCAAUAAUGAUGCUAAUCCUGUAGCUUCUGGUAGUACUAGUAAUAAUGAUCACCCGACUUCUAAUUGUAAAAGAAGAAGUCGGGUAUGGAAUUUUUUUGAAAUAAUAGAAGGUACUACUAGUAUUAAGUGCAAAAAACUUUUCAACAUUUGACAGAAGGAAAUUUAGGAGGGACUGGACCAUUUACAAGACAUAUGAGAGCUGUCCAUCCUAUAGAA